CAUUCACGGAGAGUUUGAUCCUGGCUCAGGACGAACGCUGGCGGCGUGCUUAACACAUGCAAGUCGAACGAUGAAGCCCUUCGGGGUGGAUUAGUGGCG
rnacentral:rRNA from 1 species